rnacentral:rRNA from 1 species
CACGUAGGGUGCGGGCGUGUCCGGAAUUAUUGGGCGUAAAGAGCUCGUAGGCGGUGUGUCGCGUCGGCCGUGAAAACCUGCAGCUUAACUGUGGGCUUGCGGUCGAUACGGGCAUCACUGGAGUUCGGCAGGGGAGACUGGAAUUCCUGGUGUAGCGGUGAAAUGCGCAGAUAUCAGGAGGAACACCGGUGGCGAAGGCGGGUCUCUGGGCCGAUGACUGACGCUGAGGAGCGAAAGCGUGGGGAGCGAACAGG